rnacentral:tRNA from 1 species
AGGGCUUUAUCUUAAUCUAAAGAGUCUGAGUUGCAUUCAGGAAAUGUGGGUUAAUGUCCCGCAAGUCCUA